CAAUAGCGUAUAUUAAAGUUGUUGCAGUUAAAAAGCUCGUAGUUGGAUUUCUGGUAGGAGUGACCGUUCCGAACUUGAUUGUUCGUGUAUUGUGUUUUCUCCCGCCAUCCUUGUGGAGAACUUUUCUUGCAUUAAUUUGUAGGGAUUGGGACCCGCAUCGUUUACUGUGAAAAAAUUAGAGUGUUUAAAGCAGGCAAUCGCUUGAAUACAUUAGCAUGGAAUAAUAAGAUAGGACUUUGGUACUAUUUUGUUGGUUUGCAUACCAAAUUAAUGAUCAACAGGAACAGUUUGAGGAUAUUCGUAUGAACAUGUCAGAGGUGAAAUUCUUGGAUUUUGAUCAGACGAACUACUGCGAAAGCAUUUAUCAAGGAUGUUUUCAUUAA
rnacentral:rRNA from 1 species